UCUCCGCUGCUGGGGGAGCCACCGCGUCGUCGGUCAAGAGCCGCGGGAGCAAACAGCGCCGAGGGCGAUGUUGCAGGCUCCACCGCGAGCCGUGAUGGGAGAGCGCCGCUGCGCAGCACACCGGACAAAGCGGGGGAGCGUCGCAGGUCUCCGUCGUUGUGGACAGAGAGUGUUUCGAGGCAGCCGCCUGCACGUGCAGGCCGGGCGUCGUGCCGUGUCGACGGCGUUGAGGCCCGCGCAGUGUUGUGCGCCAGGGCUACGCCGACUGCCGCAGGUGCUCAGACUUGAGCACGGGGCCUCCUCCGCCGCGUGAUGCGGCUGCGCUGCGGAGAGCCAGGCCGAGAGGGCCGCUCGGAGGAGCGGCGUGUCAUGGCUGUGGUCUCCACCGCGCCGGGGCGGGUUGGUGCUACUGCAGGCCUCUUCCACGAGGAUCUUGCUGCUGCAGUGACGUCGAGGCGACGAGCAGCACCGGCCGGUAGUACCAGCACAAGGGAAAUUAGAAAAUGACAUGGUACCUUCUUCUCCCCUUUGCAUAACUGGUUGAUACGUUCUUGAUUGAAGCUUUCUCUUCUUUGAUCCAUGAAUUUCUUUCCGUUGAUGCUUCGGCAAUCCUUUCAAUUCAUCAUGCCCACAUGCUCGAAUGAAGCAAUUCUCAACACGGCAGUGGCCGGUUGACUCGUCACAGGUCACAGCGAUUUGUGCUAAUUAGCCAGACUCUGAACAACGCCACCGGGGCAAGCCAUGGACGCUCGCCGUUGUUGUUCGGAGGCCGUGGUCGGGGAGACACCGGGUUCCGCUGGCGGCGUUUCAGGCGUACAUAACCACUGCCUGGGAUGGCCUAUUUCUCUCGUCAGAGAGCAAAGGGCUGAUAACGUGUUUGAGAUUGAACGAGAGAUGAAUGAAUAGUAAAGCAAAACUGUUGAUCUCUUUCAUUAA